GGGGUGCUAUAAUGCAGUCGAGCGAUGGAUUAAGAGCUUGCUCUUAUGAAGUUAGCGGCGGACGGGUGAGUAACACGUGGGUAACCUGCCCAUAAGACUGGGAUAACUCCGGGAAACCGGGGCUAAUACCGGAUAACAUUUUGAACCGCAUGGUUCGAAAUUGAAAGGCGGCUUCGGCUGUCACUUAUGGAUGGACCCGCGUCGCAUUAGCUAGUUGGUGAGGUAACGGCUCACCAAGGCAACGAUGCGUAGCCGACCUGAGAGGGUGAUCGGCCACACUGGGACUGAGACACGGCCCAUACUCCUACGGGAGGCAGCAGUAGGGAAUCUUCCGCAAUGGACG
rnacentral:rRNA from 1 species